rnacentral:ncRNA from 1 species
GAAAGCCGUAUACAUUGAGAGAUGUACGUACGGUUUGGAGGCGAGCACUUGGAAACCUGGUUAUGAAAGUAAACAAGGCGCCGGGUGCUUAGCCUAC